rfam:Myotis davidii contig199365, whole genome shotgun sequence.
GGCAGUUCUCGGGUGACACACCCCAGAAUCAGGCUCCCUCCUCUCUGGUUCCGGGUGCGUCACCCGUGAACCACA